GACGAACGCUGGCGGCGUGCUUAACACAUGCAAGUCGAGCGGUAAGGCCCUUUCGGGGGUACGACGAGCGGCGAACGGGUGAGUAACACGUGGGUGACCUGCCCUCAGCUCUGGGAUAAGCCUGGGAAACCGGGGUCGUAAUACCGGAUAUGACUCCAUGACGCAUGUUGUGGGGUGGAAAGCCUUGUGCGGCUGAGGAUGGGCCCGCGGCCUAUCAGCUUGUUGGUGGGGUGAUGGCCUACCAAGGCGACGACGGGUAGCCGGCCUGAGAGGGCGACCGGCC
rnacentral:rRNA from 1 species